GUGUCAGCAGCCGCGGUAAUACGUAGGGGGCUAGCGUUGUCCGGAAUCAUUGGGCGUAAAGCGCGCGUAGGCGGCCCGGUAAGUCCGCUCUGAAAGUCCAGGGCUCAACCCUGGAAAGCGGGUGGAUACUGCCGGGCUAGAAUCCGGAAGAGGCGAGUGGAAUUCCUGGUGUAGCGGUGGAAUGCGCAGAUAUCAGGAGGAACACCAAUAGCGAAGGCAGCUCGCUGGGACGGUAUUGACGCUGAGGCGCGAAAGCGUGGGGAGCAAACAGGAUUAGAUACCCUGGUAGUCCACGCCGUAAACGAUGGGCACUAGGUGUGGGAGGUGUCGACUCCUCCCGUGCCGACGCUAACGCAUUAAGUGCCCCGCCUGGGGAGUACGGCCGCAAGGCUAAA
rnacentral:rRNA from 1 species